UAUAGCAACACAGAAAAACAAUCCUUAUUUAUAUGCCAUAAAUAUAAAAUACAAUGAAACUAAGAAUACGUCUAUACAAAAAUGUGAACUUACUUUCACUUAUGUUCCAUUUAGAGACAGCGUCUCCUCAUGCUGAGAGGUUUAACAGCACCUCCACACCUCCUGUAUCAGACCAUUGCUGGAAUCCACUGUUCAGUGUGUGUCCGGUGUGUGUUCUCCUCUGCUCUGUCUGUGUUUUCUGCCUCUGUCGGAGGAAAGCUACAGUUGCUGCAGCAACACAGACUGAGAACAGAUAUUAUGAGAGUGAAGAUGAAGUGUGCUACGCCUCAUUGAACACACUUUCCAUGCUGAAGAAAAAGACAUUGCAGAAUUCUGAUUUGUGUACUUACACUGAGGUCCAAACCAAAAGAACAUAGAGGAUUCUAGAACUCACUAAGGCUUGAAAUAUUUAACCCUCGGUUGUUCUAAACCCUGGAAAACGCAAUCAUGGCUCCUUGCUUCACAUUUCACACUUUUCAUUAUAAUUAACCUGGGGAUAAUUAAUCCUGGGUAUUCAGAAACAGAAACCCUGGGUUAAUAUUCUUAUUUGCAUAUUUGCAGUGUCAGUGUCAUUGAUUAGACGAAUGCAGCACUUGACCUAACUCUAGCAUUGCGCAUCCUCAAACUUUAUAUUUCAGACUUGCUGUCAAGCAAUGUAAGAAUGAAAUGGGCUCUUCUUUAUUUCUUCCCUGUGUUUUUCCAUUUGAUAUUGAUUUUUCUCUGUUGGGCAGAGAUUUCGGCCACCUGAGCAAAAACACUUUUUUGUUUUUAAAUAAUAUUUUUAUUUUAUUUUAUUUUUAUAAGCAAAAAACAGUAACCUACAUGAGAUAAAAAAACACACAUUUACGCACAGACCAAAAAAACAAACAAAAAACGGACUGCCUAAAUUAACAAAUAUAUAUAACAGUGUUCACAAUUGUUUUAUAAUAGCAAAAACAUUCUUUAAACCAGACCUGUACAGCACACGCACAAAAAAUUGUAACUUUUAACUUCAGUGUGCUAUUUAUAUUUCAUUUGACCCUUGAUGUAACUACACGAUGCACAUUUUUAGGUUACCUGAGUUUGGACAAAAAAAAAAAUAAAAAAAUAAAAAAAAUUAAAUAACCAGAAUGGAACAUCUUGGCAAAAGAGUAGUUAAAGUUCGAGGGUGUGGCUUACCAAUAUACAG
rnacentral:lncRNA from 1 species